GGCAUGAGUGCAUGAACUUUGUUUUCAAUCUUGCUACGUAACUUUUUAUUCCGGUGUAACCCACAGAUACAUUAAUAGUCUGAAAUAAUAUGAUAACAUUCUUUAAAAUUUAGUCCGUACCAACGCAGGGGACGCGAUCGUGUCCACAGAUCUAUCUCUCUUUGUCUUCUCCCUCCUCUCUGGUCUCUCUGUCUUCUCUCCCCACCCCGCACCCACCUCCGCCUAGUCCGCCGCCGGCGACCUCCGCCUGCCCCUCUCUCUCCCUUUCUUCUCCCGUCCCUCUCUCUCCCUAGGUUUCUUCAUCCCGCCCCCCCUCCGCUCUCUCCUAGCUCAGACUGCAGGUGCGGCGGGGCGAGGCUGCAGCGGUGGGGAGAGCAGAGGAGGCGCGCGCUCUCUCUCCCUCUCUCUGUGACCCGGCUUCGACCGGCGAGGCGUGCGGGCGGCGGCGGCGGCGAGCAGCGACGCGGGUCUGCCGCAGCGGGACCGGGCGGGUACGCGGAGGAGGCAGCGGGCGACGUCCUUAUUUUAUUUUUCCAUUAUUUCAUUGCCGCUGCAGGGAUCUGCCUACGAUAAAUACAUCGCACAAGUUCAGUUAACUUUUCUUUGCCGAAGGCCCACGUUUUUGCCUUCGGCAAAGCCUUUGCCAAGACCCUGUGAAAAAGCCUCCAGCAAAGAGGUCUUUGCCGGCCCAUGUUCAUGCGGAUGCUCUUUGCCGAAGGGUUUCGGCCUGCAGCAAAGACAAGUUUUGCGGUAGUGCCGACCGAGGACAUGCUCUAACACCCAUAUUGGAAACUAGAAGCACCUGCACUCCAGCCGCACCAUGCCCGAUCAACGACGAUAGAGCACAUCGAUGCUCGGGCUACGUACGGGCCUGCGCAGCCCACUGGCUGGUUUAUUUUACUCCUAUAUAUCAUUCACUCUCCUGCAUUCUUGCUCUCUGGACUGAACUGAAGAUGGCGGCAAUGUACGCCGGCAUGGCUUCAAUUCACAAACAGUACACCGGGCAUCGAUACCACAACCCGCCAAGGAUGUACACCGACACCGAGCAUACCAACAACAAGUAUUUAUGCUUGUCGGGACGCGCAGUCGAGUCUGUCGUCUUCCAUGAACUCCCCAUGGCGUGCGGUUGGCAGCAAUCUUCCCGUUCAGGCGCAAGAGGAUGCAAAUGCAUAGAUGCACCACAGGAGGAUGCGAUCCACACGCAUUUUCGUUGCCCGCCGGCGAGAGCACUUUGGCGUGCAAUGCGGGAGUGCUGGCAACCAAGAAACAAUUACCCUGGUAGGAUCUGCAAGCCUGGUCUAACUGCACAUCAACUAUUAUGUAUUUAUAUAUCCUUGAUACUUGCUUGGCCUCUUUCACAUGUUCAAACAUCAUCUUUCGAAAAACAUUCAGUGUUUUCGAGAUUUUGCAGGAAAAAAAAAGAGGGACAGCGAUGGACCAGUAAGUGUAUCACUCUGAAAUGUGGCCAAGAUAGUUCCGGUCGAUUUUUGUCCUAAUUAGUUGGUGGCCAUGGUGUCUUUUUUGUUCGUUUGCUCACUCCUGCUCUCUCUUUUUAGGACCCCUGGGCCGGGGUCCAAGUUAUCAGCUACGAAGGAUGAGUUUUUGCAAAUACGUGAGGGGCAUAACAGAGAAAUAACUACUACAGGUUGCUGAUUUUGGUUUAUCAAAGAUGAAACAAGCCACCUUGUUUCUGGUAGAAUGAGAGGAACUCUUCCAUGGAUGGCUCCAGAAUUGCUGAUAGUGAGCGGCACUAAAGUUUCUGAAAAGGUUGAUGUAUAUUCUUUUGGCGUUGUGAUGUGGAAAAUUCUCACUGGUGAGGAUCCAUAGAAUGCACUAUGGAGGAGUCAUAGGCUCCUACUACUACUCCUGCUCCACCCUCAGCAUUUCCCCUUACAUUUGGGACCUCUUGCAGGAAAUGUGAUUUGCUUAUUGAAUGCAUCAGAGUGUCUAAAUAAAACUCUCCGCCAAAUCUGCCAUGAGCCGUUCCUAGCAAAAGAGCUACCAAUGCUACCAGCUGAGAAUGGACAUGCAGUACCAGAUAAAAACAUAACUGGUGCAAAUCAAACUGCAAGCACUGGUAGAAAUUUCAGUUGGGUGCAUACUUUAGGAUAGCUGGUGCAGCUAGUGCUACUGCAUCAUCUGCUGCUGCUGUUCAAGCUGCUAAUGUGGUUUGUCAGACGUCCGAGAAAGUUAAGAGAAAGAGGGAGCAGUAACAAGCAGCAAGGUAGGGAAAAUGCUACUGUAUUUAGAAUAGCACAAUCCUCUACAAAAACAAUCAAAUGUGUCACACACUGUUAACCUAGGAAAAAGUGAUGUUGUAUCUGGAAAGAAGAUGAAAAGUGUGGGUAAAGAUGCUGGGGACAAUUGUUUUAGAAUGCCAGGUGGAUGCAUUCCAUUUUCUACCAGCAGUGGAUCCUCUCGGUUUCGACAUGUUAAUGGGGGCCACUGGGCCCAACAGGAAACAGAGUGCUCCCACUCUCAUAAGCAUGACCUUUUCUAAUGCUGCAAAGAGAAGAAUUAUGAUAGACAAGGCGAAAGACAAUUUGACUGAGAAGCUAAAGGAAAUUAGAAGUAAAACAGUCCAAGUUAUUGAUGGAAAAGUGAGCAGCAAGCAAGUGGUUAAUGAACAUGUUGAUGGUAAUGAAACUCUUGCAUCGGAUUAUUCUAAUGCAAAUGAAGAUUCUGAAAAUGAAGAUGAUGGCCCCAUCCUAUUAUAUUAUUCCUGAAUCCUGAUCCUCAUUUCCAUGAUUUUGAUAAGGAUUGCAGCGGGGAAUCUUUUCAGAGUGAUCAAAUUUGGGCUUUACAUGAUGACGAAGAUGGCUUGCCUCACUAUUAUACAUCUAUUCAGAAACCUCUUUCCUUGAGUCCAUUUAAUCUCAAAAGUUAGCUUUCUUACUGAAUUUGGUUCUUUAAACUGGGUUUCAUCUGGCUUCAAAAAGACAUGGUGAUUUCAGGAUUGGUAGAUGUGAAACCCGUUAUGUAUUUAACAUAUUCCCUCACCAGAUUAUAUGUGAGAAAGGUCCAAGUGGGGUGAUUUAAAAGUUACCCACAGAUAGGCGACAUCUGGGUUGUAUAUCGAAAUAAUAAGAUCCGUGUUUAUGAUCUGGCUGAGGUACUGACUGAUUAUGAUGAAGAUUACAGCAUUAACUGUCCUUCCCUUGAUAAAGAUAUGGAGAUAUCAAACAGUUUUUUAGCGUCAUCAAGGCCUGAAUGUCAUCAAGAGGAUUCCAAAAGAUUAGAUGUUGUGGUUCUCACACCAGGUUCCUUUUGUUAGGAUGUCAGGGGAAGAAGCUCCAAAUGAGGUAGACCCAGCUGCUAUUUCUGAAGAACAUCUUCAGGAGAUCACAAAACAGUGGAGGAGGGGAAGGAUAUGGUCGGGGAAGAAGCUCCCAAUGCCCCCAAAUAUAACUAUGAGGUAGACCCAGCUGCUAUAUCAAAAAAUCUUCAGGGGAACAUAGAAUAAGUGGAAGAGAAGGCAAAGGCAGUCUGAAUGCUGGUUAAGACUGUUGAUGCUGAUUCUAAGAUGCUUUUCGGACCUGCCUUUUCAAAUCAUAUAUUUGUCGACAUUUUCUAGUUUCCAUGUUCUCCUAGCUUGUAUUUGUUUUGACCAUCACCUUUGCAGACAAGGAUUCGUAUGGAUUUAAUUAUUGAAGAAGGAACUUCAAUUUUGGUUCAUCUGUAUCUUACUCCUAAAAUGACCAGUAUAUGAAUAGAGGGUCCAUGCCAGGAUUGCCAGUAA